rnacentral:rRNA from 1 species
UACGAAGGGAGCUAGCGUUGUUCGGAAUCACUGGGCGUAAAGCGCACGUAGGCGGACUUGUCAGUCAGGGGUGAAAUCCCGGGGCUCAACCUCGGAACUGCCUCUGAUACAGCAAGUCUUGAGUCCGGAAGAGGUGGGUGGAAUUCCUAGUGUAGAGGUGAAAUUCGUAGAUAUUAGGAAGAACACCGGUGGCGAAGGCGGCCCACUGGGCCGGUACUGACGCUGAGGUGCGAAAGCGUGGGGAGCAAACAGG